rnacentral:pre_miRNA from 1 species
UCUUAUGGAUGAACAAAGAAAGUAGUUUCUUGAGAUGGAAUCUACUCCUUGUGAAAAGCCUGUAAA